CGGACAGCGCCAGACUCUUCCGCCUUCCGGAAGCGAGCAGCGGACCUGCAACGGCUGUAGGUGUACAGCCGCGGAAGGCAGGAGGGCUGAAGGGUACCCGGGCCUGGCUCCGGCCUCUGGGUGCAGCACCAUGGACGAAGCAGGCAGCUGUACGAGCGGUGGAGGCUUCCGCCCGGGCGUGGACAGCCUAGACGAGCCGCCCAACAGCCGCAUCUUCCUGGUGAUCAGCAAGUACACGCCCGAGUCCGUACUGAGGGAGCGCUUCUCACCGUUUGGUGAGAUCCAGGAUAUCUGGGUGGUGCGGGACAAGCACACGAAGGAAUCCAAGGGCAUCGCUUUCGUCAAGUUCGCGCGUAGUUCGCAGGCCUGUAGGGCCAUGGAGGAGAUGCAUGGCCGGUGCCUCGGCCCCAACGACACCAAGCCUAUCAAGGUUUUUAUUGCUCAGUCCAGGUCAUCUGGAAGUCACCGGGAUGUUGAAGAUGAAGAACUUACAAGAAUCUUUGUUAUGAUACCAAAGUCCUACACAGAAGAAGAUCUACGAGAAAAAUUUAAGGUGUACGGAGACAUUGAGUACUGCAGCAUUAUUAAGAACAAGGUCACUGGAGAAAGUAAAGGUCUGGGCUAUGUUCGAUACCUAAAGCCAUCACAAGCUGCCCAAGCAAUAGAAAACUGUGACCGAAGUUUUAGGGCAAUCUUGGCUGAACCCAAAAAUAAAGCAUCUGAAUCCUCAGAACAAGAUUAUUAUAAUAAUAUGAGGCAGGAGACUUUAGGACAUGAACCUAGAGUAAAUAUGUUUCCAUUUGAGCAACCAUCUGAAUUUUCAAAUUUUGACAAGAAUGACAACAGAGGCCAGGAAGCUAUCUCCAAACGCCUGUCGGUGGUGUCCAGGGUGCCUUUCACUGAAGAGCAGCUUUUCAGCAUUUUUGAUAUAGUACCAGGGUUGGAAUAUUGUGAAGUUCAACGAGAUCCUUAUUCAAAUUAUGGUCAUGGUGUGGUUCAGUAUUUUAAUGUAGCAUCAGCUAUUUAUGCAAAAUACAAGUUACAUGGAUUUCAGUACCCUCCUGGGAAUCGGAUAGGUGUUUCCUUCAUUGAUGAUGGGAGUAAUGCAACAGAUCUCCUUAGAAAAAUGGCGACGCAGAUGGUAGCUGCCCAGCUUGCAUCAAUGGUGUGGAAUAACCCAAGUCAGCAGCAAUUUCUGCAGUUUGGAGGAAGUUCUGGAUCACAGUUGCCCCAAAUCCAGACAGAUGUUGUGCUUCCACCGUGCAAAAAAAAGGCCCCUCCUGAAACUCCAGUGAAAGAAAGACUUUUUAUCGUGUUUAAUCCUCAUCCUUUACCUUUAGAUGUUCUAGAGGAUAUAUUCUGUCGUUUUGGUAACCUGAUUGAAGUUUACCUUGUGUCAGGAAAAAAUGUGGGGUAUGCCAAGUAUGCAGAUAGAAUAAGUGCUAAUGAUGCAAUUAAUACUUUACACGGCAAGAUCCUGAACGGAGUCAGACUUAAAGUUAUGCUGGCAGAUUCCCCAAGAGAAGAGUCUAACAAACGACAGAGAACUUACUGAUUUUUGAGCAUUUCCCCCCAGAAAUUCAGUAUGUGCUUGCAUCAUCCUUCCAGAACAAAGACUAAAUAAUGACAUAAUCCUCAGCUGACUGACUGAAAAUGUGACUGGACGCACUCCCUGUGGACAGUUGACAGCUUUUUUUUUCAUAUGUCUGAUAGUCUGUGCACACCAUUGUUUGUCUGGGGAGCAGGAAUUGUCGACAUGUGUUUUUAAUGCACACAUCAAUGCUAAAACUAAUAUAGUAGUUGUUUCUUAGAGCAAUAUGUUGUUAUGUGUAGCAGAAAUAAAGUUUUCUUUGCUUAACUAAA